rnacentral:rRNA from 1 species
ACAGCAGUCGCCACGGUAAAACGUAGGGUGCAAGCGUUAAUCGGAAUUACUGGGCGUAAAGCGUGCGCAGGCGGUUUGUUAAGACAGAUGUGAAAUCCCCGGGCUCAACCUGGGAACUGCAUUUGUGACUGGCAAGCUAGAGUGUGGCAGAGGGGGGUGGAAUUCCGCGUGUAGCAGUGAAAUGCGUAGAUAUGCGGAGGAACACCGAUGGCGAAGGCAGCCCCCUGGGCCAACACUGACGCUCAUGCACGAAAGCGUGGGGAGCAAACAGGAUUAGAUACCCCCGUAGUCCCUGUCUCUUAUAC